UGUGAAGUCUCCAAAAGACUGCAGAAAUGUAAGAAGUAGAAAAGCUUUCAGGAAAUUAAAUAGGAAGUCCCACUCUAUAUAAAAUGUAAGGUGUUUUAUAUGUGCCUAUAUACAGGCUUACUUUCUUGCAAGCAGAUUCCAAAAUACAGUGGCAGUGAAAGGGCUGUCAGUGCUUAACUCCUUGGUGUAGGUUUGGAAGUCAGGGGUUUUGGGAUUAAUUUUAGAUUAGUUACUGCUCACUGUGCAAACAUUUGGAUUGAGUAAGCAGAUAUCAAGUAUGUAAUCAAUUCAAACUAUAAUUUCUUCUUGAGAAAAGGGAGUUUGCGUAAUGACAAUUUCUGCAGAAUUGUUUUCUCCACCCAGCCAUUCCUUGUCAAUACAUUUUUGUAGGUUGCUUUCUAAAAUACACAGACGCUUCUAAGGAAAUUGGUAUUACAUGUAUGUAAGUGUGCAUUUUAACUUACUAGAGUAGGGAGGGUUUUUUUGUUGUUGUUGUUAUCUUUUCUUUUUCCCAGUGAAAAUGAUUGGGAACAAAAUACACCACUCUCAAAGACAGUUCCUUAUUUAGCCAAGGUUCAGAAGUUAUAAGCCUAUUAACAAAUAUUUCUCUCUCAUAACAGGCACACUAGGGACUGCACUGAGUGUGGUUUAUAGUGAGAUGGAUCAGAAAAGGAAGUUCCAAGGCAGUUGGUGACUGAGGAAGGCAAAAGGCAGUAGUGGACACUGUUGAAACCUAGGAAAGAGUUCAGAUACAAACAACUGCCCUACAGCUUUGGUGGCUUUCAUCACCAAUUUAUAGAAAGGACUAUCCUGUAGCUUUACUGGUAGCAACAAAUAGACAGUGCUCGUGAUCUUCCCAAAUACACAAAGGUUUCUCAGCAGCAGUGCUGAGAAAACAUGAAAACUCUGUUUUGUUUCCCAGUGUUUGAGAGUUUGCAUUGGAAUUGCUGGACGUCCAAGUUGUUACAGUCACAACUUCUUGUUACAGUAACAUGCUGCCAGCUCCUCUGCCCCAAAGAUGCUGCUGCUUAAUUUCCACGCUUGCUCUCUAGAAGGAGCAGCUGAGCUGAUUGUGCCCUGUCGUGUCUGUUCCUUGCUGUAGGGAGCGAGCAGAACAUGCAGGAAAGGUAACCUCUCCUUCCUCUCACUGCUUUCCAGUGGGCAAGAGAGAAAGGGAGAAACAAAUGUACAGGAGUCACCUGCUCUCACUUCCAGCCUGCCCUGGUAGUUUUUCUCAGAGAGGGAUAUUGGGACGUGAUAGGAGCUGUGGGAACACAAGAGAGUGAUGAGAAGGUGAGCCUGGGUUGAGCUUUUGCUGCAGCACAAGGGGACAUGGUGACACUGGGCUCCUCUUGGUCACUGUAGGCACCUCUCCGAGCUCUGAAGAGGCAGGCUGUGUCAUCACCUGGGCGUUUGCCCUGAUACCUGUUCUUUGGGCAGCUGCCUGGAGAAGGGGACAGACAAGAAGACGAAGGAGGGGGAGAAGCCAGGUUUGAGUGCUGCAGUCACGGAGAGAGAAGCGUUGGCGCACCCCGGGCCGCUCUGUCCGGCCGCUCCCCGCGGCACCUGCGGGGGGCGCUGUCCCGCCUGAGGGCGCGGGGCUCCAGGAGCGCGGGGCGGGCCCGGCCGCCGCCGCCUCAGCCGGAGCACCGGAGCCGCCGGGAGCGCCGGAGCAGCCGCCAGCAUGAACAGGGGCAUCCUGCACACGCUGAGAACGCGAAAAGAGCUCAUUCCCCUGGCCGGAAUAUUGUCCUUGGCAGCAGUUGGGGCAUUCUCUUUUUGUGUCUAUUCCCUAUUCAGCAAAUCUGAUGUGAUCAUUCACAAGAUUGGCAGUUCAGAACCAUGGGAAACUAUUGAUCCUGCCAAACCUCAGAAGCUGGUAACAAUCAAUCAGCAGUGGCAGCCUAUAGAAGAGCUGGAAAAGGUCAAAAAGCUUACGAAGUGAGAAGUUUCUGUUGCCUGAAAAAGAUGUUUGUAACUGGAGGAAAGCACUGGAGCAUGCAUUCCAUGGUAUUUACCAAUAUAAGCCUUCAAGAAGUGUCCAAACUCCUUCCCAGUAAUUGACUGGGCAGUCUGUGCUAGCACACAACUCCUGCGAAGGCUGAGAGCGCUGCGCCAUCGCCUGGAGCAGCUGCGAACCGCCUGCAAGGCUCCAGAAUUGAAAUGCCAAGAAUUCCUCGUGCCUCCAGGAGAGGCCCUUCCUUACCUUGAAGCGGAUGAUGUAGGCAGCUACGAGCACCCCGAUGCUCUGUACCAGGUCCCCCAGGGCGUGGACAAACGCUGCUCUCACAGCCAGGCUGCUGUGCCCGUGGCUGCUGUGCCCGUGGCUGCUGUGCCCGUGGCUGCUGUGCCCGUGGCUGCUGUGCCCGUGGCUGCUGCCCUGGGCUGCAUUUGGAGAGCUCGGCUGAGCUUCUUCCAGAGUCACUGUCAUGUCAGCAUUGUAGAUUUGUGCUGAGAUCUUUCACUUCUUGUGAAAUGAACUGUGCACCGUCUCAGUGGACUGGCUGAUCCUGUCAUUACUAACAUUGUCUCUGCAGCAAUGGACGAGUGCCAGGUUCCAUAUCUAUGCUUAAAUCUGCUCAGUGUCUUGCUGAAAAGGAGGUAGCUGCACUUGGUGGGGAAAAUGAACUAUUUUCCGUUUCAAGAAUUUAAUUCUUUUUUAACAUGACUGCAGUUUCUAUUAUUUUGUCUUCACUUUUCUAACCCAUUCCUGAAUCUGUCAGCUUCCUUUUCACAACUCAUAAUGGAAUAAAACUGAACUUGGAACUUAUAUAUUAUGUAUUCAAAGAGAAUUCAAAUAAAUGAAAAUUAGUGCUAACUUCCUUCUGGAAUUUAACUAGACAACUAACAGGUCUGUUGCUUUUACAAAACAAUGUUUAUGGGAAUAAUUGAAAAUUCAUCAUUCUGCAAACAAAAAUGAUAACAAGUACCAGAAACAUUGUUCAUUAGAAUGUUUUCAUGCCUACUGAAUGUAUGGAUUAUCUUAAAACUAAAUGCAGAGCAGGUCAGUGAUGAGACAAUUCGCGCACAUAUUCCCAGCUUAAAACAAAUAAUUCACAUCUGCUGUGAUAGAUGCCCAAUCUGUACCCUACUUCUAACAUCCUGACAUAUUUUAACAUCUGUCUUGUGAAGUUUAAGCUAUUGUUGAACUGAUAUUAUUUGCUGACAAGCUUCUUACAUAUAGGUUACUUGGAAAAAUGUGUUACAAGAAACUAGAAAUGCUUUGUUCCAUUGCCAGCACUCACUGAUGUGUGAAACUGGGCCCUCAGGCCACAGCAUUUAGACUGGGUGCCUAAAAUCAGGCAAAUAAAUUUCACAAAUGUGAUUUUUAAAAGACUGUGUAUAGUAAUUUUGAGCCAUCCCAUCUUCUGUACUUUGGGGGCUCCUGGCAAAGCCUUGACUCACUUCCUUCCUGCAGCACAGAAACUCUUCUCCCCAGCCCCAGGCUCUCCUCAUCCAGAGAGCUGCACUGCUGCUACUCAUGCAGGGUGGUUGAAGUAAAAAGGAGCCCCUGGAAAUUGUGUAGUCCUGCUCAAAGGAGGGUCAGCUACAGUGAGUUGCUCAGGGCCGCUCCCAGGUGGGCUUCAUGUAUUUCCAACUGAAGACACUCCACUAGAACCUGUUCUAGUCUUUGACCACCUGCUGGCACUGGGAGCAGAAAAGGAGGAACAAUUGUUGCAGAACUUAGAGGCUGCUCCCUAUAGCUGCUCCUAGAGAGAAGGGCAGUACAGACUAAUUUUAUGGGCCACAUCUGGCCCAUGGACCACCACUGGAUCAGACUGGCUAGCAUUUGACUAGUAUUUUUCUUGGCAGUAAACUGGAAAGAAAAAAAUAUACAGAAAAUGAGGUGGCAGUAAUCUUCAGGGAUUUCUUCUUUCGCAUUAAUUGAAAAGCCAGUGAAAAUUUACAGAACUGAGUAAUAUUUUAAUGGUUAAAUAAGGUCCUUUUAUUUUUAAUAGCCCUGUUUUAAGCUAGCACAUUCAAGGUAUGUGCUAUUUGAUUUUAGAAAAGUUACAAAGACAUAUAAACUACCCAAAUUAUUUUGAAAUAGGGUUAAAGUAUGUAUAAAUGCUAACAAACAUCCUUCUGCAGAGUAUGAGCAAGUGCCAGGGGCAUACCUGCAAGGUCAGGUUUCAGUAUCAGAGGAGCUCCUAUCACAAAAUUAAAACUUCAUGAAAGAAAAGUUUGUAAUGGGAAAUGCUGGCAUUGCUAAUGCUUUCUUGCUAGAGCCCCAAAGAGCUUAGCUAGUGUACAGAGUUAUGCAUUCAUGCACUAGUGACUAACUGAUGACAAAUGACAAGGAAUGAUGGAGUUGUUGAAUUCUACUGCUGUUCUAGCAGCCAAAAUAAGAAUUGCAAAUAGUGACUACACAAGAAUGAAAUUCCUUGAAAAAUGUAUGCUAUAGAGUGUAAUAGAAAACAGGUAGAAAACUGGGACACUAGAAAUUACCUAUUUAAUGAAAAAGAUACUUUGAAGAUUUUGCAAAAAUGUCUACGGACCUGCAGCUGUAUAUUAUAUCCAGUUAGCAACCACAUUUCUCAUCAUUACAUUUCCAAACAUAAAGUUAUAAAUCCUGAAAUUAUUCUUCCAAGGGUUAGUCCAUAAUUCUGUUUACACUUCUUUUUAGAGACACCUUAACUGGACAGAUGUUAAGUAAUUUGCUGUAUUUUGCAAACCAUAGGGCAUUUUGACCUCAGCUUUCUGUGGUUUGGGAAAUGCAAGAGGAAUACUGAUUUAUACAAGUUCUGGCAGGGCAGAGCUCUCUAAUAAUAUGUUCUACAUAACUUCUUAGUUGUGGAUUAAAAUGUAAUUUUUCACAUUGAAUAGGACCUUUUUUCCAGUAUCCCAAUUGUGCUGAAGUCAACAAGAUUUUUUAAAUCCUGGGCACUGGCAAUAAUCUGUUGUGAACAACCACGGGCUGACAUGCACAGCUCCUGCACCAGCAAUGUCACCAUGAAUUCAAUUCCCCAGCCUUCCUCUUCAAAUGGAAGAAGUAUUCAGAAUUUAACUCUGAAUCUGCUAUGUGCCCCUUCCACAGAAAUGGUGGGACUUGCCUUUCUCCCAGUGAAUGAAAUUCUGCUGUCAAACUUUUGGCCAAGUUUAGUUUUUUGGGUUUUUUAAUCUAUUCACUUGUGGCAAUACAACAGUGUAUCCCCAAUAGCCAGUGAAUGGACACUGAGAGUCAGCUAAAGCAACUCUUAGGUUUGUUGCUUUCUUUCUAGCUACCUGUUCUUCUAGAAUUAGGUGGUCUUUACAGUUGUUGCUUAAAAUACUCUUUAACAGCAAAAUCUGAUAGCUACAUACCUAAGCGAUGAAAUCCAAAAGUGAACCUCUUUGUUGGAGAUUUUGCAGAUAGCCAGAGAGCGAGCAGAGUCAAAAUAAUACCACUAAGGUCAAUUAGCAUGUGAAGUGCAUCUGUCAUAAUUGCUAGACUGUUAGCAACAUAGCCACCUGAAAACAUAAUAGGAAAAGUCAGGACAUAUGACAUUUUAAAUUAUUUUACAUAAUAUCCUCUUGCGCAGCUUACAGUUCUUUAUUUUCAGAAUAGAACAAUAAGUACACGAGAGCCUUUCUUAUACCCUCUAAACAUGGAGGGGUGUUUGCCACUACAAGGAAAAUGCCAUGCAAUGAUUUAAAGCUACCAUAGUUAAAAGUGCAGUCAAGUGUGCUUUCUAUUAAGAGUAACAUAGAAAGGAUUCACUCCUGUUAUUCUAACAGAGACUUCUUGCGUCAUAAUGUUUGCAAGAUCAGGUCCAAAACAGUUUUGUGUCUUUUCUCUGCAUAUUACUGCACGUGUUUAAUCACUGAUUCUUUUGUUAAACUACAGCUGUUAAACACUCUAACAGAACAGAACAGGAACAGAAUUCCUAAGAUUCAAUGACCAGGAAAUUUACCCUGUCCCCUUUUUAUUUUUAUUACUUUGUUUUUCAACCUUAAUUAUUCCCCAUCCUGGCAGAAGCGUGUACAUUCUCGCAAUAUCUAUUGAAAGACAAUGACUUUCACUCAUACAGCAUUUUUCUUUGUUGUUUAUUACCAUAAUUUUUUAUUGUAAUAAUGAGCUGCAUUGAGACAAAUAACCUGAGAUCAAAGGUUAAUAUCUUUGUUCCAAUUCAAUUGCUAGUGCUACUAUUGGAUGAGUGAAAGAUUUAAACAAUGCACCUCUCCCUUAAGUAUCCCUUAUACAGAGGGGACUCAAGGACAGGCCGUGUUGUCUCACAUAUGCUUGAAGGUAAGCCUAUUAUUUCAGAAAAGAUCACAUCUUCAGUGUCAGCUCAGCUAUUAUUUGGUUUCUCUUUUUACCUUGAGAUUGUCAUGCAGCCUGUAAAUUGUACUGAGCAAAGUGUGCAGCUGGUGUGCCAUUUGGCAGGCUUCAGGCUUCAACUAACAUUUCAAACAAAGCAAUCUUCAUAUACAAUUAAAAUUGUCUUAGUGAAGAGGCUGACCAGAGAAAAUAGCAAAGGGGAAUUCACAACUGGCUGAUAGGUUUUAAGACUGGUCACAAAACCUGUGUGUGUGUGGCUGUGGGUGUUCUUAUGUACACACCUGCAGACAGAGCUGCUCUCUCCUCCCCAGCCAAACACGGAGCACAGCUGUACUGCAGUACUGUUUGUGCUGUGGCCACCUACCAAAUGCACUACAUUUCAAACAGCUCCUUUCCUCCAGCCUCUUUCUUCAAUUGCUCUGAACUUUCUAUGUCAAAUUCUUCUGAGGCUGAAAUUCUCCAAAAGGCCAUCACAGCUCAUAAACAAUGACUUUUUAAGAUUUAGCACUUCAGCAGCUUUUUGAGUAAAAUGAGUUAUGCCUUUCCUUUUUGAAUUAAUUUGUGUUCUCACAUAUUUAAAAAAAAAUAUUUAGAAAGUGCAACUCAACCUCUUUUAUAGUCAACAGAGAAGAAACAAUAUGUAAGGACAUUUAGUGCAGUACUUUACAUAUAUAAUUAUUUACAGUAUAUAUGUUGAUUUAUAUGUAUUAUUUUGAGAAUCACUUCAGUCCAAGAAGAGUCAAUUCCACUUCAGCUAGCCUCUCACAUUUAAAGAUUUUCAAAAUAAAAUUAUAAGGAAGGAAUUCAGAUACUGAAGCUAAACAUAAUGCAGCAUGUGGAUUAAGAAAACAUAAUUUCCAUUUACAAAAUCCUGAAAUCAAAGGUUCUCUGUUUCUAAAGGUAUCGGUUCAUCACGUGGUUAAAGGAACUGCCUAGGGGCUGUUUAAAUACAAUUGGCAACUUGGAAAAAAAGACAUCUAUAAUCUUUACAAAUAAACAGCUUGAUGGCUCACCACUGUUUUCCGUGACCCAUGAAGGACAGCAGUUCUCCUCAUGGAUGAUCAAUUAGAAAUUUCUAAACAUAGCUGAGAACAUCAAAACCCUGUGAGAAAAACUAACUAGGACUUGCAAUAUGUUUUUCAUUUCUUAAUGCACAAUGGUUUCCCCAAAGUGUAAAUUGUUAUCCAACUGGUAAUCAAAUUAAGCAACAAACACUGAGAUAGGCUAAAGUAAUGAGUUUGGAAAAAAUAUGCCAAUCAAGAUCUCACAGGAAAAGCUGCUGAAACAAGAUUUCCUUCAUCUUGACAUUGGUAACAAGACACCAGAAAGAUUUUUACUGAAAAAAUUAAUUGUCUUGUAGUCUUCUGCCUUUCUCUCAGAAACUGAAAUCUGUCAAAGAUCAUAGACAGAAGUCAGUUAAAAUAUCCUACACGACCAGAGUUUCCCAAAUACCUGAGCUUCAGAUCUGUUCAUAAAGUUUGGAAAUUUGAAACCAACCAAAGACCAUACAGUACAGGGCUGGAGUUAAAUAAAUUAAAUAGGUGGGACACUGACCCAGGACUUGGGGGCUAUAUCUCUACUCUUCUGCUGAUUAUUACUUGCCCUGUGACAAGAUCCACAGAAUUACAGAGAUAUCCAAACCCUCUAUUUAUUCUUUGUGGAAGAUGGAUGCCUGAAUAUUUGAUGGGUCUGACUCUCAGUGCUCUCUGAUUCUGUGUCCCAAGAAAGAAAUAUGGCUGGAAACAGCACACCCAGACCUGAGGAGGAUGAGUCCACAGUUCAGCAUUAACACUCUGUACAGACAAAUCCAGCCUGCUCAAGUCCCGACUCUGCGGGAAGUACAACAGUUGAUGUGACAGUGAUCAGAGUAUUUCUACUCUCAACAUCUAUUAUUUCCAGAGCUGUCCCUGCACUAGCUAUGGAGAGGUCUCCAACAGCAUGAAUCGGAUCCAAAGCCCCAAAAAGAAACGCUCCCAGUGACUUGAGCAUCAACCUGCCAACAGCUCGGACAUUAUUCAGUAAGAGGCCCUUCACUAAGAGGGCCACUGAAGCCAUUAUUGAGGGUCAUUAUUCAGUAAGAGGCCACUGAACUAAAUUCAGUGUACAUCAGAACUCUGAUACAAUCAACUAGCAUCACUCUUAUGUUAAAGGAUGUCUAAGCCUAAAAUACAACAUCAAAUUUACCUGAGUUCAUGCUGAACCAAAAUCUCAGCCAGAGAAAAAAUAUGGAGCCAGGGGGCAAAUGGAGGCAUUCAGCCAAAUCCCCUCAGGUUUGACACAUCGAGCCUUAGCCAUAAUAAGCUGAUGUAUUGUGGCCAUGUUAUUAAUGACCAGCCACACACUGAGACACGCUGAAAGGCAAAACCACUUUUUUCCAUUAACCCACAUUCCUGAAAAAAGGCCCCAAAUAAAACUGGUGCAGACACAGUCAAUAUUCUGGUCUCUCUCUGAAAAAUUGAAUAUUUCUUGUAGGGUUUUUUUUUUCCCCUACAUCUGUGGGACAAACUGCAUUAGUUAUACUCUAGCAAUUAUUUUGUCCCCUAUCCAUCUUGCACAAGUUUGUGUUAAGAACACGAUUCACAGUCGUCCUAGCAAAAGCAUCCAAGAGCAUGAGCUCACUUCACACAAGUAUUCAACUGACUCAAUAUGCAGAAGUCAGGAGGAGGAUGUAGAACAUGCUACUGUUCUUCACUUCCAGAAAGUUUUUAUUAUUAGAUUUGUGUGUGUGUGCUUGAAUUAUGGCAAGUAAUUAAUCUGAUUAGCUCUGAUUCAGACUUGAAUGCUGAAAUUUAAGAAAUUUUAAAGCAAUUAAUUGCUAUGGAGAGAUCUAGCUCAACAUACAUAUCAAUGUACUGGCACUGUGUAGUACUCCCCACAACUCCAAAUCAGGGGACAGCGGAUAAGAACAUUAAAGCAUUUUUCAGGAGGCUGAGUCACACCCAACAGACACUUGCACGGCAUGGCAUGGAUGUAUCCAAAAUACAGAUAUCCAAAAUAGUAAGAGGACACAGUAAGUGAACAGAGAUUAGAAGAUAAAUACUGAACUUUGUAAAAAUGAUAAGACAAUGUCAAAGGCAUAACACUUAACAGCUAAUCUAUGCAUCUCAAGGACACAUUUUAUUUCAAGUCUAUGCUGCUAUAGCCUAUUUGAUAAAGCACAGUUGUAUAAUGUUGGUGUAUAAUACACAGGUUCUCCUCAUCCUGCGCAGCACAGCCGUUAGGAGGGAGCAAUAAAAGCUGAACUUGAGCAAUAGGUUCAUUCUUCUGACCAACAAUCAGGUGCUUAUAUGGGAACUCAUUUUCAGGUAAAACCCCACUAUACUUCUGCAAGUACUGACAAAAACUACAAAUAAUUUAAUGCAACUACUUGGUAUUCUUAUAUAUUGUAGCAGGAAGUGUUAAAAUAACUGUGACUUGACUGUGCUCAUAUGAUUUAUGUCUGGAUGGAGCACAUGCUAGUCCAGGCCACAGUAUGAUAUCAAGAAGUUCUCAAGGGAGUGAUGUCUCUACUGGAUUGCCAUUGAUAGUUCAGGACUUUUAGUUCAAAGUAAUAGUGUGUAUUGGUGUAUAUGGUGAAUAAGGAAAAAUAUCCCAGAGUAUUACUUUCAUUAUUAUACUAAAUGUCGGAUUUAAAACUAUAUUUUCCUCUUCUUCUCUUGUUGCAAACACAGUAAGAUUUUAUGGUCGUUGAUUAAAAAAUACUGCAAUUGAAAUUGUUCAUGCCACUUUUCCUUUGUUAAAAACAACUUAAAAACUUACAAGAAGAAAUAAAAAUCUAUUAGACAAAGAAAAA